AUACUUACCUGGCAGGGGAGAUACCAUGAUCACGGAGGGGGUUUUCCCAGGGUGAGGCUUAUCCACUGCACUGUGGGUGUGCUGAUCUCUGCGAUUUCCCCAAAUGCGGGGAAACUCAACUGCAUAAUCUGCGGUAGUGGGGGACUGUGUAUGCACUCUCCCCUG
rnacentral:snRNA from 1 species